UACAUAAUAGUUGAGUUGGAGUUGAAGUUGGAUGUGAUUGCUUUUCAUUUAUUAGUUGAUUAUUUCAUUUCAUGAUAAGCCAUAAAGAUCGACUGGGACUCAGUGUGAUUUGCACUAUCCUCAAAUAUGGGUGAAGCUUUUUCAAUAGCUAUAUCUAAUAGUAAAUAGUUGUUUCUUUCAAUUCCCCUCAAGGUUAUCAACAUUGCAUUAUUGUGUGUCAGAACAAUUGAUGCCGUAUCUGCUGCUAUCAGCGACACUAGUAAAUGUUUGGAGAAUAAUCUUGCAGAUUCGUGAGCGGUUAAAAUUUGUUGGUAUAUCAAAUUCUCAAGCAUUACAACACAGAAAAAUCAAAGGAAAGGUGUUGUCACUUAUAGAUAGCACAGAGGCUUCAAUUCAAGUCUCUGAUUCAAGAAUUUACUCGGUCAAGAGAUUCUGAGUCAAUUGAACUUCCUCAGGAUCACAAAGUCAUUGACAUAUGGCUCAUUUAUAGUCCCUACUGUAAAGAUGUUCAAGAAAAAAGUUAUUGCAGAUUGCAUUCAGAAAGUUAUGCUUGAUCGGUGCAUUUGUGGAAACAGGGAAUUGGUGAAGGUUGUCCUUGAUGCACACAAUUGUGUAAUAUCUACAAUGAAACUUGGAGCAAAUUGGGUGGAUAUGCACUUGUUAGAGUGGAUGUAUGUGUUUUACGGAGUAAGGAAAAUAUGGAAGGAGGGAUGGGGUGUCCUCUACGGGGAAAUACAUGAAGAAAGAAUUCAUCAUCUUUUUUUCAAUGAUACUAGCUUUUGUCAUGGGCCUGGCCUUCUUGUUGGGAAGUGGCACUUCUCCAUAUAUCUGUUACUUCAGGAUAAUUGAUGAAGCACAAUGGUUUUCAA